rnacentral:misc_RNA from 1 species
CGGGUUCUGCCCUGCUUGUGAACGGUAGCAUUCCAGUGGCCUUAAGCAAUUCCUAGGGGGCUGGCUCUGUCCGGACCUUGGUCCAGUUACCUGGCACCCACCUGUACAUACAGGUCCUCGGGAAUCAAAACCACACGGUUGUUUGGUGGUCCCGUC